CCUCCGCUCUCCCCGCACAGGAGGGCGGACCGAGGCACCCGGCGCUCUCUGCCCUGACUGCGCCGGUGCCUCAAGUGGCCGGAGGCACCGCACACCGCCGGCCAGGUAGCUCCGGGCUGCGGUGCCGGACGGGCUGAGGGUCCCGUCCCGGCGC
rnacentral:ncRNA from 1 species